rnacentral:lncRNA from 1 species
UACUAAAACUCCUGGGUACUGUGAUGUCCCGGACACUCUAUGCCAUAUGGUAUGGGGAUGCAUACAAAGCCCUAGCACCGCUACACUAACCGAAGAGCAGUGGGAGGCCAAGCUAUCGG